rfam:Fukomys damarensis contig129713, whole genome shotgun sequence.
GCUGGGCAUGGAGGUACGUGCCUGUAGUCCCAGCUACUUGGGAGGCUGAGAUGGGAGGAUCUCUUGAAUCCAGGAGUUCUGGGCUACAGUGCGCUAUGCCAAUUGGGUGUCCACCCUAAGUUCAGCAUCAAUAUGGUGACCUCCCAGGAGCAUGGGACCACCAGGUUGCCUAAGGAGGGGUGAACCGGCCCAGGUCAGAAAGGGAGCAGGUCAAAACAUACAGUAUUAAAUGCACUAUGUGCCAACAGAGCAAAAAUGGAGGAUGAAAGAAGCAGAAGAGAAGGAAAAGGAAAGAAGUU